GUCGCGCCUGGCGGACGGCCGCGCCGCGCUCGGCGAGUGCGGUCCCGAGGUCGCCGAGGUCCUGCGCCUCGGCGCGGAAC
rnacentral:tRNA from 1 species